GAUGAAGAACGUAGCAAAAUGCGAUAAGUAAUGUGAAUUGCAGAAUUCAGUGAAUCAUCGAAUCUUUGAACGCACAUUGCGCCCGCCAGUAUUCUGGCGGGCAUGCCUGUUCGAGCGUCAUUUCAACCCUCAAGCUCAGCUUGGUGUUGGGACUCGCGGUAACCCGCGUUCCCCAAAUCGAUUGGCGGUCACGUCGAGCUUCCAUAGCGUAGUAAUCAUACACCUCGUUACUGGUAAUCGUCGCGGCCACGCCGUAAAACCCCAACUUCUGAAUGUUGACCUCGGAUCAGGUAGGAAUACCCGCUGAACCUAAGCAUAUCAAUAAGCGGAGGA
rnacentral:misc_RNA from 1 species